rnacentral:rRNA from 1 species
GUGAGGAAUAUUGGUCAAUGGGCGGGAGCCUGAACCAGCCAAGUCGCGUGAAGGAAGACGGUUCUAUGAAUUGUAAACUUCUUUUGUGCAGGAAUAAAGUGGGUUACGUGUAACCUUUUGUAUGUACUGUACGAAUAAGGAUCGGCUAACUCCGUGCCAGCAGCCGCGGUAAUACGGAGGAUCCGAGCGUUAUCCGGAUUUAUUGGGUUUAAAGGGUGCGUAGGUGGAUUGAUAAGUCAGCGGUGAAAGUUUGCAGCUUAACUGUAAAAUUGCCGUUGAAACUGUCGGUCUUGAGUGCAAAUGAGGUAGGCGGAAUGUGUUGUGUAGCGGUGAAAUGCUUAGAUAUAACACAGAACUCCGAUUGCGAAGGCAGCUUACUGGGAUGCAACUGACACUGAUGCACGAAAGCGUGGGUAUCAAACAGGAUUAGAAACCCCUGUAGUCC